GACGAACGCUGGCGGCAUGCCUAAUACAUGCAAGUCAAGCGAACAGAUGAGGAGCUUGCUCCUCUGACGUUAGCGGCGGAUGGGUGAGUAACACGUGGGCAACCUGCCCUGCAGAUGGGGAUAACUCCGGGAAACCGGGGCUAAUACCGAAUAAUCAGUUGAUCCGCAUGGAUCAACUCUGAAAGACGGCAUCUCGCUGUCACUGCAGGAUGGGCCCGCGGCGCAUUAGCUAGUUGGUGGGAUAACGGCCUACCAAGGCGACGAUGCGUAGCCGACCUGAGAGGGUGAUCGGCCACACUGGGACUGAGACACGGCCCAGACUCCUACGGGAGCAG
rnacentral:rRNA from 1 species